rnacentral:lncRNA from 1 species
CUCUAGCAAUAGAAGUAACAGUGAUACCAAGAUUGCUACCAAGAUGCUGAUGUUUCUGCUCUCCAUGGCCCUAUUGGCCCCGAGCUCAGCUUGGACUGUAGGCCGUGAUCUUAAGCUCCCAGACAAACAGCCUCAAAAACCACCUUAUGAAGGAGCUGUACCUAAAAAUAAUGGAAGUCAGGGGAAUAAUUCUCAACUGAAAUCAACCCCAUCACCUUUAGACAGCAAAUCCCCCAAACAGGGACCUUCCAUAGUAGGCUUGGAGGGAUACUUUGAGGAUGGUAUGAUACAUCUCAAAGGUAGUAUGAGUCUUAUUCAAUGGAAAAUAAACUUUUUACCCCGUCCCCAUAAACAUCAUAAUAGAUUCCAUCCUGGAAGUCACCCACCAGCCAAAGGAAGCAAAGUGAAGGAUCUUCAAUUGAAAUCAACCUCCCCACCCCCAGGAAGCUGCACAACAAAAUGCUCCCAUCAACACCCUCCUGGAGAUCACCCAACUGCUAAUGGAAGCCAAAGGAUAGUGUCUCAACUGAAACCUUCUCUAAUAUCCCCAAAAGGCCACACCUCAACAUCUUCCAAUGGACACCAACAUGGAGGUCAUUCAGUUACCAGUGGAAGACGAAAUAAAUCUAAAUGGAAAGCAACCACAGUAGCCUACCUUCUCAAAUCCUCCAUGGGAUACCAGACUAAAAGGCCUUCCUUGUCCUCCAGUAAAAAAUCUCAGAAGAGUUAACCCCCAAAUCAGAGUACUCUUGCACAUUCCUAACUUCUCCCUUUCAUUGGUCUGAAUCAAUGGAGUUUAAAAUUAUACAACUUAAUAUAUGGAAAGUAAUUUAUAGAUUUUUAGUCCACCAUCCAUCAUUACUAAUCAUGCAUCCCCUCUAAUGGGCAAGGUUAAUUUUGUAACACUUCCUCUUUUAAUUCUCUUGCACACUCUCUCCCUUAUCCCACUGGUUUCUCAGCCUGGGAUCCUAUCUCUGUCUUUUCCACUCUGUUUGCUCUUCUUUUACUUUAAUAUCUCACCCUGAUCCAGUUACCAAAGUGAAAAAAAAAAUUGAGCCUGUGCUGUAUCAUUUCAGGAACUACAUUCAUCUUGGUCUCUGGUGCCAAUGUCUCUUUUACAUUAUGUUUCUUGUCCUCAACCCUGCCUCACUAUAGCUCUAGUUAGCUAAAUUUCUGUUUAUUUAACUGCCUGCAAUGCCAGGCAUGAUAUUAGGUUAUGUCCACUGUCUGUACUCUUUCCUUUUGUUGUUUCAGAAACGGAAUAAAAGCAAUGUGUGUGCAAGAGGCA